rnacentral:ribozyme from 1 species
UGUCCAGCAACUCCUACCCCUACCUCCGCGUGGAACCGGCUGAAAACUACGAGCAACCUUAGGAAAGAUCAAGUAACAAACCCCCGGUGGGAACUUUGAUCGUAGGCUGACAGGGAAGG